UGCUUGGGGACUGGGGAGGAGGGAGAGGGGGGAGGAGUGACGAUUGUUAUGUUGUUGAACCCUGAAGCCGGGACCACUCUCCCUCCAACUCGGCUCGUAGUCGUACUCCGGAGGCAAGCCAGCCAGCCAGCCUCGUAGAAUUCCCAUCCAGCUCCUUUAGCCUCCCUCCCACUCACCUCCCCUCUUACCUGUCAUCGUAGCAGAAAUCCGCACUGAGGGUGUUGAGAUACAAGACGAGCCCCAGGGCGCUGCUCACCAACUCAGCAAUCAUCUCUCCACCGCCUUCCCUUCUGCUCCCUUUCCAAUACAAGGGCAGCCGCAACACAGAAAGAAGCAUCAAUCCCCACCUUCCGCUUCUCCUCCCAGCUUCACUUUUUUCUCUCUCCUCCUCCUUCUCUCUCUCCCACCCUCCUACCCCUCCCCUUCUCUCCCCCUCUCCCCCCACCCCAAGCCUUGGAACCCACCCCUCUUCUGCUGCUCUUCACUCCUGGCCCCGCUUGCCUCCUCCUUCCCCGUCCCCGGGGGCGAGGGCUCAGAGCGCUCUCCCCAUCCCCGGAAGCCCUGGCGAGCCGGCAGCCAGCGAGCGAGCAAGCGGCAGGUUUAUUGAGUGCUUGGCUUUGGGGCUCGCUCUUCCUCCGCUCCGCCCGGACCCUAACCCAUGGCAGUUGGGAAAGGGGGGAGCCCUGGAUGCGGUGCUAGGCUGGGGGGCUAGUGAAGGGACGACUAGGGGUGUGAGUGCGGGGAGGAAGGGAUGGACAGGACGGAGCUGGGCUGCCGGUGCAGCUGGAGAGAACAGGGAGAGAGAGAGUCGAGAAGGGAGAGUGGGAGGGACGGGAGCGAGAGCUGCCUCUGCUCCUCCGCCUCCUCCUCCGCCUCCUUCCCCUCUUCCCCUCCUUCCCCUUGCCCCGCUCUGGGUGCUCGCUUGGUCUCCAGCCGCCGUGACGGGCGGCUGUAGCUCAUUCACUCUUUAUUAGCUCCUUCCAGUCCCCAACCCUUUCCGCACUAAAGUGAGAACCCGCGGCUGGAGGUUCAGGGAAGCACCCGCGUGGGGCUCUCGGGGGCUCCCCCGCGCCUGCGUGGCCACCCCUCCGUGCGCUUUCUCCACCCGGGCAGCUCCUCCCACCCCUCAGCCUG
rnacentral:lncRNA from 1 species